GCUCCCUGUGACAUAUCCAGCCCCUGUCCUCCAUUGCACUCCUGUGGCCUCCCCUCGGCCUAUAUAAGGACCCCGAGGCUCUCCCGCAACUCCUAAGACUCUCCCCAAGCCUCCACGACCACCGGAGCGACCGCAUCUUGCCGGAGUUUGCCGUUCGUUCUUGGUGUUCGCCGGAGUCCGAGCUAGUCCGGCCGCCCUAGGCCUGCUCUCCUCCUUCCUCCCUGUCCACCAGUUUCCCCACUCCACCAAGAGCCACCCCACCCCGUUUUCCCCUCGCCGGAGUGCUUGUUUCGCCGGAGCACCCCGCCGCCCGAAGCUCUUUGUAGCCUUCUGUCACCGUGGCCUCCCCUCCAUUCCACCCGUCCUCGGUGCUCAUUCUGCCUCUGAACGGGAACGCAACGUCGCCCUGCACCCUCCAGUACCCUCAGCUUCCUCGGAUAUCGCUGGAGUCGCCCGUUUCAUCGUCGGACGCCCGCCUCUGUACCUCCUCCUGUCACCGCCCUCGUCGUCGUUCGCGGCCUCCCCUGCGCCUCCUCUUGCUGGGAAUGGAGGCGCCAGGCUCCGCCCAGCCUGCAGGUGCACUCGGCUCGGCCGAAGGCCGCCUGAGCCGGCCGCCACAUCGCCGGCAGCGCGGCCCCUCCCCCGCCUCUUCUGUCCCGCACGGGGGAGCAGCGGGAGGAAGAAGACACCCGUGCCUAGCCCCCCUGCUGCUGGGCCCAGCCCGUCAGUGGCCGAGGCGCCCCGCUGACGUGGAUAAGUGGUGGCGCGAUUCCUGGAGUUCGCUUCCUUCUCCUGGAAGUGUAUUUCCUGAAAUAGUCCCUGAUCUUCCAACCGUUACAACUUUUCAACCGUAACUCCGAUUAAGCCCCCUCCGAGAGAGAACCGUCCGACGUUUCGUUCUGCGGCUUCACCGCACUUCUUCCCAAACUCUCCGUCACCCCCAGGCAAGUCACAACAGCCACUUGCAUGAUAGUUAUGCAGUAGCCUUGGAUUUUAACUUGAAUAAUAAAAGUUUACCGUUAUCUGUUUGCUUGUUUGCCACUGUUGUCGUUGUUUCGGUUAUGCUCGUGGAUUCUUGUCCAUCUUCAUGCUAUGUUAUGAUGCAUCAUGAUAUCUUGUGCUACUUGCUAAUAUCAUUUUCACAUGUCAUGCUUGUUGGCAGUAAUACAUGCUGGUAGAAGUCAUGUUCUUUCUGAUGCAUGCUUAUCGUCUGUUAUUCAGUACCGUUGUUAUGUUUCUUCCGUUGCAUCUAUUUGGUUACAUGUUUACUUGGUAGUGUUCUUGCUAUGUUCUUGCAUGGUAUUUAUUCAUGAUGCUAGUGGUCAUGAUGUGCUUAUGGUAGAGUUAUGCUUGUGUUAAUCAUGCUCGUCAGUAUGCCAUGCUCAUUCGGAUAUAUGUUUCAUUGUGGUUAUGCUCGAUGAUUAUGUUGCACCUCCAUGCUUAUGUUGAUAUCAUGCUCAUGCAUCAUAGUUGUAUCUUGUUAUUUUCAUGUGACUUAGCUUAUUGCAUUCAAGUUUAACCGGACUUAAUUGAACUUGAACAACUGUUGGCUGAGCCAUGGUGCCACUGAAUCGAGCUGACCAGUGCAACCACAUUUGCCUUUAUGGUAAGGUCCUAACUGGGUCUAUUGUCAUGCCUCUCGCCGGUGCCUCCAAUGAGGGAAGGUUAUGGGCGCGCGCUACCCUAAUCAAGUAGGCGGACAUGAACCUUGUGUCCCUGUUGUUGUUGUUGUAUGGAUCCAUGUCCCCGUUUGGGACCGUUUAUUUGCCACGACGGGUGGCUGUUGAUGCCUUUGGUAGGCACGGGGCCACCCAUGACUUAGCCUAGAGGGGAGUUGGUCGGAGUGGCCGAGUGAGUGUCAUGGGCAGUAGAUCAGUUUUGUCGAAACGCCGUUGGUCCACCCGAAUGGGAGUGCGAAGCCAUGGGUUCCGUGGUGUGGGUAAAGUGCGCUACCUCUGCAGAGUGUGUGUAUUAAAUCUAUCAAUAGCCGCACCCGCGGAUAUGGGCCCAAUUCGGAGUCGGUCACGCUAUGGGUCAAAAAUAAUAAUUAUUAUGUACUUAAUUACAAUCCUGGUUCGAUGAUGAAAGAAGUUGGUUGAUCUUUAUGUGAUCGUGAGUGGAUCACUGUGGUGUCGAUGAUACCAAGUUGUUGGAUAUUUGUGGUGUUAUGCGAGAAUCACGGGUAAAGGUCAAGCUCCUUGUGGUCAUGUAAUAAUUACUACGGUAUUGUUAUACCAAGCUUGAUUUGAUCCUGAGAUGAUCAUGUGAUGAUCGCGGUGGUAAGGAAUGCAUGUUUUGGUUACGAGGUAACCGCUGAGCAAGAGUAAGUUGGUGCAUGAUUAUGUUAACCUGUUGCAUGUAGUAUCAUUGUGUUCAUAUGAUCGUGCCAUGUUAACGUUGUAUCAUGUUCAGUUGUGCAUACCAUGUUGUUCUGUUAAUACCAUGCUCAUGAUUGCUUUAACCUACUAAUGCCAUGUUGUUGUUUGUCUUGACUGCUUUUGGUUAUUGUGAGCUUGCAGGUACAUUUAAUGUACUGACCUGGCGUGUCAUGCCAGUUUGCAGGUCGUGUCUUUUGCUUGCUUGUUGGGUGUGUUUCCUAUGUUCGCGAGCCAGGAUAAACGUUCCAGCCAGAGUCCCUGCGGUUUGGAGUCCAUCAUCGCCGUUCGUUGUUCCGCUGCCAAUAGUUGUUCCGCUGCCAGUAGAGGUUCUGCUGCCUCGAGUUGUUUUGCUGCUUUCAUAGAGCAACUGUGGUUGGCGUAGUGUCGUCGUGCCGGUGUUACUUAUUAUAAUAUCGGAGACCUUGUAUUCAUAUUCGGGUUGUAAUAGAGAGUUGGUUUGUUCUAUGCUAGGCAGUGCCGUAUUCCAGAACACUUCACCUUGAUCUCUGGGUUGGAAUACGGGUGCGUUCCGGUUUCUCUGAGCCGGGGUGCCACAGAAGACUAUCAUCGGGGACAUUUUUUAGGGGUAUCGGGGACCUAGUAGGUAUCAUUUUUUCUAGAGGGCGAACAAGUAUCAACUGGGUUGUGGCCUGCCCAUAGGUUUUUUUACUUGCGCAGCCCACGACAUACCGACACAGUGGUUUC